rnacentral:tRNA from 2 species
CAGAGUGACCUUCGAUGGCUCGGGGCUUAGGCUUCAAACCUAAGGGGGCUUAGCGGCCCAGGUGUUCGAUUCACCCUCACUGG